AGAGUUUGAUCAUGGCUCAGAACGAACGCUGGCGGCAGGCCUAACACAUGCAAGUCGAGCGCCCGCAAGGGAGCGGCAGACGGGUGAGUAACGCGUGGGAACGUGCCCUUUGGUUCGGAAUAUUCCCGGGAAACUGGGAGCAAAACCGGAUAAGCCCUUCGGGGGAAAGUUUACGCCAAAGGAUCGGCCCGCGUUAGAUUAGGUAGUUGGUGGGGUAACGGCCUACCAAGCCUACGAUCUAUAGCUGAUCUGAGAGGAUGAUCAGCCACACUGGGACUGAGACACGGCCCAGACUCCUACGGGAGGCAGCAGUGGGGAAUCUUGGACAAUGGGCGCAAGCCUGAUCCAGCCAUGCCGCGUGGAUGACUGAAGGCCCUAGGGUUGUAAAGUCCUUUCGACGGGGACGAUAAUGACGGUACCCGUAGAAGAAGCCCCGGCUAACUUCGUGCCAGCAGCCGCGGUAAUACGAAGGGGGCUAGCGUUGUUCGGAUUUACUGGGCGUAAAGGGCGCGUAGGCGGAUUUUUAAGUCGGGGGUGAAAUCCCGGAGCUCAACUCCGGAACUGCCUUCGAUACUGGAAGUCUGGAGCACGGUAGAGGUGAGUGGAAUUCCGAGUGUAGAGGUGAAAUUCGUAGAUAUUCGGAGGAACACCAGUGGCGAAGGCGGCUCACUGGACCGUUGCUGACGCUGAGGCGCGAAAGCGUGGGGAGCAAACAGGAUUAGAUACCCCGGUAGUCC
rnacentral:rRNA from 1 species